UGAAAGCACUUAUAGAAGAAGGAUCACCGAAUAUAGUGAAUCAAAUUCGGCGCGGUUCCUUAACUGAAUGUGCUAUUCUUCAACACUUGAUAACUGCCAUCUUCACUAGAACUAAUGACUUUCGUUCGUUCGUUUCGAAAGAAUUAUCUUGUCAGCUGUUAGAACUUUGGGUUGGUGAGAAUCCGGAAGCACUCGAUCUAUUGAGCAGAAUAUUUCCUUCUGGCCUUCUACGUUUUCUGCACAAAGAAAGUUCGGCAUCUGAAAAAAACUUUUUAUUACCUUCAAAAAAGAC